AUUUCUUUUAUGCUAGCUUUGGGUUUAAUCUGUUCUUUUUUUUUUUUUUUUUGAGACAGAGUCUCAUUCUGUUGCCCAGGGAGUGCAGUGGUGCGAUCUCAGCUCACUGCAACCUCUGCCUCCCGGGUUCAAGCAAUUUUCCUGCCUCAGCUCUCCUGAAUAGCUGGGAUUACAGGCGUGUGUCACCACGCCCAGCUAAUUUUUGUACUUUUGUUAGAAGCAGGAUUUCACCAUGUUGACCAGGCUCGUCUUGAACUCCUGGACUCAAGCGAUCUGCCCACCCCAGCCUCUCAAAGUGCUGGGAUUAUAGGUAUGAGCCACCGCGCCCAGCCUCAUUUGGUCUGUUCUUGUUCCUCUAGUUCCUUGAGGUGUGACAUUAGGUUGUCAAUUUGUGAUCUUUCAGACUUUUCUCUCUCUCUCUCUCUCUCUUUUUUAAAUAGAGAUGAGGUCUUGCUAUGUUAUCCAGGCUGGUCUUGAACUCCUGAGCUCAAGCAAUCCUCCUGCCUUGGCCUUUCAAAGUGCUGGGGUUAUAGGCGUGAGUCACCAUGCCUGGCUCAAGACUUCUUGAUGUAGGCAUUUAACACUAUAAAUUUUUCCUCUUAGCACUGCUUUUGCUGUAUCCCAGAGGUUUUGAUAACUUGUGUCACUAUUAUUUAUUUUGAAGAAUUUUUAAAUUUCCAGUGAUUUCAUUGUUAACCCAAAAAUCAUUUAGAAGCAGAUUGUUUAAUUUCCAUGUAUUUGUAUAGUUUUGAAGGUUCCUUUUCAAGUUGGUUUCUAGUUUUAUUCGACUGUGGUCUGAGAAGAUACUUGAUAUGAUUUCAAUUUUUUUAAAUUUGAGAUUUGUUUUGUGGUCUAUCAUAUGGUCUAUCUUGGAGAAUAUUUCAGGCACUGAUGAGAAGAUUGUAUAUUCUGCAGUUCUGGAGUAGAUGUUCUGUAAAUAUGUUAGUUGAUUUGUUCUGGAGUAUAGUAUAGGUCCAGUGUUUGUUGACUUUCUGCCUUGAUGAUCUGUUUGCUGUUGUCAGUGGAGUGUGAAGUCUUCCACUAUCAUUGUGUUGCUGUCUUUCUCUUUUGUUAGGUCUGGUAGUAGUUGUUUUAUGAAUCUGGGAGCUCCAGUUUUAGGUGCAUAUAUAUUUAGGAUUGUAAUAUCUUCUUGUUGGGUUGAUCCUUUUAUAAUUAUAUAAUAGCCUUCUUUGUCUUUUUUUCAGUGUUGUUGCUUUAAAUUCUAUUUUAUUUGAUAUAAGAAAAGCUACUGCUGCUUGCAUUUGGCUUCCAUUUGUAUGGAAUAUCUUUUUCCACUCCUUUACCUUUAGUCUAUAAGAAGCCUCACAUGUUAAGUGAGUCUCUUGAAGAUGGCAGAUAUUUGGUUUGCGAUUUAUUUAUUUAUUUAUUUAUUUAUUGAGACGGAAUCUCGCUCUGUAGCUCAGGCUGGAGUGCAGUGGUGUGAUCUCAGCUCACUGUAACCUCUGCCUCCCGGGUUCAAGUGAUUCUCCUGCCUCAGCCUCCCGAGUAGCUGGGACUACAGGCACACACCACCACACUUGGCUAAUUUUUGUAUUUUUAGUAGAGAUUUUGCAACGUUAGCCAGACUGGUCUUGAAUUCCUGACCUCAGGUGAUCCACCCACCUCAGCCUCCCCAAGUGCUGGGAUUACAGGUGUGAGCCACUGCGCCCAGCCUGUGAUUUUUUUUUUUUUUUUGAGUGGAGUAUUUAGACCAUUUACAUUGAAUGUUAAUAUUGAGAUGUGAGGUACUGUUACAGUCAUCAUGUUGAUUGUUACCUAGAUACUUUUCUUCCUUCAUUACAUUAUUGUUUUAUAGGCCCUGUGAGUUUUAUGCUUUCAAGAGGUUCUAUUCUGGUGCAUGCCAACCUUUUGUUUUAAGAUUUAGAACUCCUUUUUGCAUUUCUUGUAGGUCUGGUCUGGUAGUGACAAAUUCCCUCAGCAUGUGCUUGUCUGAAAAAGACUUUAUUUCUCUUUCAUUCAUGAAACUUAGUUUUGUUGGAUACAAAAUUCUUGACUAAUGUUUAUUCUGCUUAAGGAGGCUAACAAUAGGACCCCAAUCCCUUCUGCAGUUGUAAGGUUUCUGGAGAGAAAUUCUUGUGAAUAAAACAAUCCAUCUUUUCUUUUUAGCUUCCACCAACACUUUCUUCCAAAUAUCCUGAAGAUGACCCAGACUACUGUGUGUGGGUCCCACCUGAAGGUCAAAGUGGAGAUGGCAGAACCCAUCUUAAUGACAAGUAUGGCUAUUGAUUGCUUCAGAAUCCCAAAAGAAAACCUUGUGGACCAUGUGACAUGGAAUAUUUGGGAUAAUGUAUCAAAUUGAAUGGCCAGAGAAGUUUAGAUGAUUAUUUGUAAGAUCUGGUGACUGGCUUUUCGUUCUGUGUUCUUGGCUUCCUAAAUUUAUCUGCCCAUAUGAUUCUCAUGCAUUUGAUAUUUAUGUUUAAAAGUGUUUAUAUAUGUAUGUAAAAAGGGAACCAUAUGUUUUGAGAAUUUGUAAAGUGAGAGACAUGAUCCUAUUAAAAUAAGAAGGCAAAAAUGUU
rnacentral:lncRNA from 10 species